rnacentral:rRNA from 1 species
ACUUAAAUUGAAGAGUUUGAUCAUGGCUCAGAUUGAACGCUGGCGGCAGGCCUAACACAUGCAAGUCGAACGGUAACAGGAAGCAGCUUGCUGCUUCGCUGACGAGUGGCGGACGGGUGAGUAAUGUCUGGGAAACUGCCUGAUGGAGGGGGAUAACUACUGGAAACGGUAGCUAAUACCGCAUAACGUCGCAAGACCAAAGAGGGGGACCUUCGGGCCUCUUGCCAUCAGAUGUGCCCAGAUGGGAUUAGCUAGUUGGUGGGGUAACGGCUCACCAAGGCGACGAUCCCUAGCUGGUCUGAGAGGAUGACCAGCCACACUGGAACUGAGACACGGUCCAGACUCCUACGGGAGGCAGCAGUGGGGAAUAUUGCACAAUGGGCGCAAGCCUGAUGCAGCCAUGCCGCGUGUAUGAAGAAGGCCUUCGGGUUGUAAAGUACUUUCAGCGGGGAGGAAGGUGUUGUGGUUAAUAACCACAGCAAUUGACGUUACCCGCAGAAGAAGCACCGGCUAACUCCGUGCCAGCAGCCGCGGUAAUACGGAGGGUGCAAGCGUUAAUCGGAAUUACUGGGCGUAAAGCGCACGCAGGCGGUCUGUUAAGUCAGAUGUGAAAUCCCCGGGCUCAACCUGGGAACUGCAUCUGAUACUGGCAGGCUUGAGUCUCGUAGAGGGGGGUAGAAUUCCAGGUGUAGCGGUGAAAUGCGUAGAGAUCUGGAGGAAUACCGGUGGCGAAGGCGGCCCCCUGGACGAAGACUGACGCUCAGGUGCGAAAGCGUGGGGAGCAAACAGGAUUAGAUACCCUGGUAGUCCACGCCGUAAACGAUGUCGACUUGGAGGUUGUGCCCUUGAGGCGUGGCUUCCGGAGCUAACGCGUUAAGUCGACCGCCUGGGGAGUACGGCCGCAAGGUUAAAACUCAAAUGAAUUGACGGGGGCCCGCACAAGCGGUGGAGCAUGUGGUUUAAUUCGAUGCAACGCGAAGAACCUUACCUGGUCUUGACAUCCACGGAAGUUUUCAGAGAUGAGAAUGUGCCUUCGGGAACCGUGAGACAGGUGCUGCAUGGCUGUCGUCAGCUCGUGUUGUGAAAUGUUGGGUUAAGUCCCGCAACGAGCGCAACCCUUAUCCUUUGUUGCCAGCGGUCCGGCCGGGAACUCAAAGGAGACUGCCAGUGAUAAACUGGAGGAAGGUGGGGAUGACGUCAAGUCAUCAUGGCCCUUACGACCAGGGCUACACACGUGCUACAAUGGCAUAUACAAAGAGAAGCGACCUCGCGAGAGCAAGCGGACCUCAUAAAGUAUGUCGUAGUCCGGAUUGGAGUCUGCAACUCGACUCCAUGAAGUCGGAAUCGCUAGUAAUCGUGGAUCAGAAUGCCACGGUGAAUACGUUCCCGGGCCUUGUACACACCGCCCGUCACACCAUGGGAGUGGGUUGCAAAAGAAGUAGGUAGCUUAACCUCCGGGAGGGCGCUUACCACUUUGUGAUUCAUGACUGGGGUGAAGUCGUAACAAGGUAACCGUAGGGGAACCUGCGGUUGGAUCACCUCCUUACCUUAAAGAA